GUGGGGAAUAUUGGACAAUGGGGGAAACCCUGAUCCAGCCAUGCCGCGUGAAUGAUGAAGGCCUUCGGGUUGUAAAGUUCUUUUGACGGGGACGAUGAUGACGGUACCCGUAGAAUAAGCUCCGGCUAACUUCGUGCCAGCAGCCGCGGUAAUACGAAGGGAGCUAGCGUUGUUCGGAAUUACUGGGCGUAAAGGUCGCGUAGGCGGUCUGAUAAGUCAGGUGUGAAAGCCCUGGGCUCAACCCAGGAACUGCGCUUGAUACUGACAGACUUGAAUUCGGUAGAGGUUAGUGGAAUUCCCAGUGUAGAGGUGAAAUUCGUAGAGAUUGGGAAGAACAUCCGUGGCGAAGGCGGCUAACUGGACCGACAUUGACGCUGAGGCGCGAAAGCGUGGGGAGCAAACAGGAUUAGAAACCCGGGUAGUCC
rnacentral:rRNA from 1 species